rnacentral:rRNA from 1 species
CCUACGGGAGGCAGCAGUGAGGAAUAUUGGUCAAUGGCCGUAAGCCUGAACCAGCCAAGUAGCGUGAGGGAAGACUGCCCUAUGGGUUGUAAACCUCUUUUAUGCGGGGACAAAGGUGGCGACGUGUGGAGGUUUGCAGGUACCGCAUGAAUAAGGACCGGCUAAUUCCGUGCCAGCAGCCGCGGUAAUACGGGAGGUCCGGACGUUAUCCGGAUUUAUUGGGGUUAAAGGGAGCGUAGGCCGGUCUUUAAGCGUACCGUGAAAUUUUGUGGGUCAAACCUGAGAGUGCGGGGGGAACUGGAGACCUUGAGUGCGCGGGAGGCAGGCGGAAUUCGUGGUGUAGCGGUGAAAUGCAUAGAUAUCACGAAGAACCCCGAUUGCGAAGGCAGCCUUCCGCCGCGUUACUGACGCUGAGGCUCGAAAGCGCGGGUAUCGAACAGGAUUAGAUACCCCUGUAGUC